rnacentral:tRNA from 1 species
UGGGGUGUAGCUCAAUCGGGAGAGCAGCGGCCUUUGAAGCCGCCGGUUGCAGGUUCGAGGCCUGCCGCCCCUGCCA